rnacentral:tRNA from 1 species
UCCACAGCAGCUCAGUGGUAGAGCUAUCGGCUGUUAACCGAUCGGUCGUAGGUUCGAGUCCUACCUGUGGAGCCA